UUUUAGUGAUUUCCUUUCCUUUCAUCCCAGCACAUUUGGCUGCAGUACUAGACAUGAUUUACAAAUCAAAUGUUUACAAAGGUAUAUGCAGCUUCUGUGGGGCGAAAGGAAACAAAAUACGCAUAUUCUCUGCAUGGAUUGGUGCCUGUUACUCCUGUUUCUAGUCUCCAGGUAACUAUUUAACCUAACCAAGGUGGACCCUGGGUAGGACCCAGAGAAGUAGCUUGUGAUAUAAAUUUACUUUUGCAUAUGUAUUAUGUUCCAUCUUGUCUGUUCAAAUAAAGUGGUUUCUUUCUUCCCUGUCUCAAAUUCAAAUGUCCUCUAGUAGCAAAUAGGAUGAAGCGGCUGCCUGGAGGGCUAGGCCCCACCUCAAGGCAACAGCUGUGAUUCGGCUCCAAAUGAUCAUCACCGCCGGAAGUGUGGGCCCAAUGUCACCCCAUUUUCCAAUUUUUCUAUAGCUGCCGAAACUGGAUUUGUUAAUGCAAGGUCUCCUGAUUUUUAAUAUUUCUAAUAAAUUCUAAUUUAUUAAAAAAUGUGUCUAGAUUUUAGAUUUGGCCCAUUUGCUGUCCUUUUGCUUUAAAGUAUUUUCCCCCCUGAUUUUUCUCAUCUGUAAAACAGAAAAAAUAAUCUUUACAUUUCAGAGUGAUCACCAGCCUCACAGGAAAUAUUGGCGUGUUAAAGAUGCUUUGUGAUCCAAACCUUAAGAAAAUCUUGGUCAAUGAAAUCUGGGAUGCCAGGUAAAGGAGCGUCUGGUUCUCUGCAGAAGAGAGGGCUACGUGGAAGUUUCCAUAUUGGAGGUAGGGGCUUUACCAGCCACCUUUUCCCACUCUGCUCCCAGGCACUGGCCACCUGCCUGACACUCCCGGCAGACGGCAGACCAUUGGAGAAAUCUCUAGGGAAUCUGAGAUGAACUACUUCUAGGUACUUCUCCUAAUGAGGCAGGCUAGAGGGAGCACCUCCCCCACCUGAGAGGCCUCGGCCACCAAGCCCCAUCCACAUCGACAGGGAUUCCCAAACUAUUUAACAGCCAAAGAUCCGUAUGUAAGGACCCAUAAACAUUUCACACAAAAGACACCAGAACAAACCAUCUUGGAGGAAACAAAAUGCAGGAAAAAGGACACCUUAAGAAACAAAAAACUAUUAUCAAUUUCCUUAGAUACGAUGUUGGAGGGACGCAUGGCUGCCUCAGUAAAUGGAGUGUGUGACUCUUAAUCUCUGGGUUGUGGGUUCAAGCCCUGUGUUGGGUGUAGAGAUCACUUUAAAAAUAAAAACUUGAAAAAGAUCUCGCAUCCACAAAAAGAACAGAUG
rnacentral:lncRNA from 1 species